rnacentral:rRNA from 1 species
AUUGAACGCUGGCGGCAUGCCUUACACAUGCAAGUCGAACGGCAGCACGGGUGCUUGCACCUGGUGGCGAGUGGCGAACGGGUGAGUAAUACAUCGGAACAUGUCCUGUAGUGGGGGAUAGCCCGGCGAAAGCCGGAUUAAUACCGCAUACGAUCUACGGAUGAAAGCGGGGGACCCUCGGGCCUCGCGCUAUAGGGUUGGCCGAUGGCUGAUUAGCUAGUUGGUGGGGUAAAGGCCUACCAAGGCGACGAUCAGUAGCUGGUCUGAGAGGACGACCAGCCACACUGGAACUGAGACACGGCCCAGACUCCUACGGGAGGCAGCAGUGGGGAAUUUUGGACAAUGGGCGAAAGCCUGAUCCAGCAAUGCCGCGUGUGUGAAGAAGGCCUUCGGGUUGUAAAGCACUUUUGUCCGGAAAGAAAUCCUUGGCCCUAAUACGGUCGGGGGAUGACGGUACCGGAAGAAUAAGCACCGGCUAACUACGUG